GACGAACGCUGGCGGCGUGCCUAAUACAUGCAAGUAGAACGCUGAAGGAGGAGCUUGCUUCUCCGGAUGAGUUGCGAACGGGUGAGUAACGCGUAGGUAACCUGCCUGGUAGCGGGGGAUAACUAUUGGAAACGAUAGCUAAUACCGCAUAACAGUAGAUGUUGCAUGACAUUUGCUUAAAAGGUGCAAUUGCAUCACUACCAGAUGGACCUGCGUUGUAUUAGCUAGUUGGUGAGGUAACGGCUCACCAAGGCGACGAUACAUAGCCGACCUGAGAGGGUGAUCGGCCACACUGGGACUGAGACACGGCCCAGACUCCUACGGGAGGCAGCAGUAGGGAAUCUUCGGCAAUGGACGGAAGUCUGACCGAGCAACGCCGCGUGAGUGAAGAAGGUUUUCGGAUCGUAAAGCUCUGUUGUAAGAGAAGAACGAGUGUGAGAGUGGAAGGUUCACACUGUGACGGUAUCUUACCAGAAAGGGACGGCUAACUACGUG
rnacentral:rRNA from 1 species